rnacentral:rRNA from 1 species
GAGUUUGAUCCUGGCUCGAGAUGAACGCUAGCUACAGGCUUAACACAUGCAAGUCGAGGGGAAACGAUAUUGGAAGCUUGUCUUCGAUAGGCGUCGACCGGCGCACGGGUGAGUAACGCGUAUCCAACCUGCCACCACUUGGGGAUAACCUUGCGAAAGUAAGACUAAUACCCAAUGAUAUCUCUAGAAGACAUCUGAAAGAGAUUAAAGAUUUAUCGGUGAUGGAUGGGGAUGCGUCUGAUUAGCUUGUUGGCGGGGUAACGGCCCACCAAGGCGACGAUCAGUAGGGGUUCUGAGAGGAAGGUCCCCCACAUUGGAACUGAGACACGGUCCAAACUCCUACGGGAGGCAGCA